rnacentral:lncRNA from 1 species
GUCGAAGUAUAGCCACGAUCUCUUGUUGUCGUGUAACUCUACUACAGCGUGUCAAAAAAGAAUAAAAUUUUGCCUAGAUAAUGGAAAACUUUCAGAAUUCCGGAGUUCAAGAAGAAAGAUGGGAAUUACCUUUAGGAAUAACUCCAAACGAGUUGAUAGCAGAAAUCAUGUCUAAAUGGUCCAGACAACCUUUCGGUAUUGGAGAGGAGUUAAUGUUCGAGUAAGAUAUGAAAUAUAUUGACUGGUUAUCGGAACUACCUCCAGAUACGUACAGAAUGCCCGAAAAUAUAAGCGAAGAAAUACAGAGAAUAAGCGAGUUGUGGGAAAAUCCACCAGAUAGAUGGGAUUAUUUAGCACACAAAUUUUAUGUGAGAGACACGCGAUAUCUCCGUUGGUUGGAAAAAGAAAAAGAAGACAGGGACAUCGAAAAAAUAUUUGAGGAAACAGAAAUUGAUCCAGAACAUCUUCAGGAAAUA